rnacentral:lncRNA from 1 species
AAAGUCUCCCCAGGAUCCUGAAAGCUCUUGCUAAUAUUUCUGCUCAGGAAAGGGGUUGUGAUGAGUGCCUAAACACUGAAGAACCUGGAGGGAGAGCUCACAGCAGGUUACGGCGAGCCUCUCGGGUUCACAGCUCUGGGACAGAGGAUGGGGCGGCAGUGAAUGGAGGUGGUUCUCAAAGUCCACAUCACAACACACCUGCUCGUCACAGCAUAGGUGGACUUCCCUGUAGCAGCAGUAAUCAGGAGCACCCAGGGGUUUCUGGAGCUUCGAGCCGCUCUACCACUCCCAUCCAUCUCCCUGCUGAAUUCUUCCACCCAGUUGCAGCGGCCCUCCCCGCACCUCCGAGAGGCCGACCGGGGCACAAACCAAGAGGGCUUCGGCUAACUUCCCCAGCCUCAUGGGCGUCUCUACGCUCUCCUGGAGCAAACACCAGGCUGCUCACCACACAGUAUCCAUCUCACAGUGACUCCUCCCUGGCUACGGGGAGCUCAGAGAGCAGCCUACUGACCACCAUGGAAGAAGGGCUCCGUUUCAUCGUAUCCACUACCCAGCCACUGCUGGACACACUCCUCAACGAUCGGGCCAGCCUCUCCACGGAGACCCUGAGACCCAGUCCUCCAGCCGCCCAGAACCUCCAAACUACGAGGGGACACCAGCGCAGCAAGAGCAGCUGUGAAACGGACAUCAGUGCAGGAAGAACUCAGCAAGGCUCCGAUGAGGAUGUAGGGAUGGUACGGUGCGGCUCUAACCAGACGUGUGACAGCCAGCAGCUCUCAGAGACGCCGAGCAGCCUGUCGCUGACGUCGCUGCUUCUGCCAAGCUCUGUAGCUCCCCCGUCUGUGAAAAAGUGCAACAGCACGGGCAGCUUAGACCACGGGACUCUCACAACCCAAGAAAAAGUGUUCAUAAAAGAGGCACAGGGUAAAAUCACCAGCCCCUGGAAAGAAAGUAGAGAAGCAAAAAGAGAGAGUCAGUCGGAGGCAGCACAAGGAAAAG